rnacentral:rRNA from 1 species
GGUUAAGCGACUAAGCGUACACGGUGGAUGCCCUGGCAGUCAGAGGCGAUGAAGGACGUGCUAAUCUGCGAUAAGCGUCGGUAAGGUGAUAUGAACCGUUAUAACCGGCGAUUUCCGAAUGGGGAAACCCAGUGUGUUUCGACACACUAUCAUUAACUGAAUCCAUAGGUUAAUGAGGCGAACCGGGGGAACUGAAACAUCUAAGUACCCCGAGGAAAAGAAAUCAACCGAGAUUCCCCCAGUAGCGGCGAGCGAACGGGGAGCAGCCCAGAGCCUGAAUCAGUAUGUGUGUUAGUGGAAGCGUCUGGAAAGGCGCGCGAUACAGGGUGACAGCCCCGUACACAAAAAUGCACAUAUUGUGAGCUCGAUGAGUAGGGCGGGACACGUGGUAUCCUGUCUGAAUAUGGGGGGACCAUCCUCCAAGGCUAAAUACUCCUGACUGACCGAUAGUGAACCAGUACCGUGAGGGAAAGGCGAAAAGAACCCCGGCGAGGGGAGUGAAAAAGAACCUGAAACCGUGUACGUACAAGCAGUGGGAGCACGCUUAGGCGUGUGACUGCGUACCUUUUGUAUAAUGGGUCAGCGACUUAUAUUCUGUAGCAAGGUUAACCGAAUAGGGGAGCCGAAGGGAAACCGAGUCUUAACUGGGCGUUAAGUUGCAGGGUAUAGACCCGAAACCCGGUGAUCUAGCCAUGGGCAGGUUGAAGGUUGGGUAACACUAACUGGAGGACCGAACCGACUAAUGUUGAAAAAUUAGCGGAUGACUUGUGGCUGGGGGUGAAAGGCCAAUCAAACCGGGAGAUAGCUGGUUCUCCCCGAAAGCUAUUUAGGUAGCGCCUCGUGAAUUCAUCUCCGGGGGUAGAGCACUGUUUCGGCAAGGGGGUCAUCCCGACUUACCAACCCGAUGCAAACUGCGAAUACCGGAGAAUGUUAUCACGGGAGACACACGGCGGGUGCUAACGUCCGUCGUGAAGAGGGAAACAACCCAGACCGCCAGCUAAGGUCCCAAAGUCAUGGUUAAGUGGGAAACGAUGUGGGAAGGCCCAGACAGCCAGGAUGUUGGCUUAGAAGCAGCCAUCAUUUAAAGAAAGCGUAAUAGCUCACUGGUCGAGUCGGCCUGCGCGGAAGAUGUAACGGGGCUAAACCAUGCACCGAAGCUGCGGCAGCGACACUAUGUGUUGUUGGGUAGGGGAGCGUUCUGUAAGCCUGUGAAGGUGUGCUGUGAGGCAUGCUGGAGGUAUCAGAAGUGCGAAUGCUGACAUAAGUAACGAUAAAGCGGGUGAAAAGCCCGCUCGCCGGAAGACCAAGGGUUCCUGUCCAACGUUAAUCGGGGCAGGGUGAGUCGACCCCUAAGGCGAGGCCGAAAGGCGUAGUCGAUGGGAAACAGGUUAAUAUUCCUGUACUUGGUGUUACUGCGAAGGGGGGACGGAGAAGGCUAUGUUGGCCGGGCGACGGUUGUCCCGGUUUAAGCGUGUAGGCUGGUUUUCCAGGCAAAUCCGGAAAAUCAAGGCUGAGGCGUGAUGACGAGGCACUACGGUGCUGAAGCAACAAAUGCCCUGCUUCCAGGAAAAGCCUCUAAGCAUCAGGUAACAUCAAAUCGUACCCCAAACCGACACAGGUGGUCAGGUAGAGAAUACCAAGGCGCUUGAGAGAACUCGGGUGAAGGAACUAGGCAAAAUGGUGCCGUAACUUCGGGAGAAGGCACGCUGAUAUGUAGGUGAAGUCCCUCGCGGAUGGAGCUGAAAUCAGUCGAAGAUACCAGCUGGCUGCAACUGUUUAUUAAAAACACAGCACUGUGCAAACACGAAAGUGGACGUAUACGGUGUGACCCCUGCCCGGUGCCGGAAGGUUAAUUGAUGGGGUUAGCCGCAAGGCGAAGCUCUUGAUCGAAGCCCCGGUAAACGGCGGCCGUAACUAUAACGGUCCUAAGGUAGCGAAAUUCCUUGUCGGGUAAGUUCCGACCUGCACGAAUGGCGUAAUGAUGGCCAGGCUGUCUCCACCCGAGACUCAGUGAAAUUGAACUCGCUGUGAAGAUGCAGUGUACCCGCGGCAAGACGGAAAGACCCCGUGAACCUUUACUAUAGCUUGACACUGAACAUUGAGCCUUGAUGUGUAGGAUAGGUGGGAGGCUUAGAAGUGUGGACGCCAGUCUGCAUGGAGCCGACCUUGAAAUACCACCCUUUAAUGUUUGAUGUUCUAACGUUGACCCGUAAUCCGGGUUGCGGACAGUGUCUGGUGGGUAGUUUGACUGGGGCGGUCUCCUCCUAAAGAGUAACGGAGGAGCACGAAGGUUGGCUAAUCCUGGUCGGACAUCAGGAGGUUAGUGCAAUGGCAUAAGCCAGCUUGACUGCGAGCGUGACGGCGCGAGCAGGUGCGAAAGCAGGUCAUAGUGAUCCGGUGGUUCUGAAUGGAAGGGCCAUCGCUCAACGGAUAAAAGGUACUCCGGGGAUAACAGGCUGAUACCGCCCAAGAGUUCAUAUCGACGGCGGUGUUUGGCACCUCGAUGUCGGCUCAUCACAUCCUGGGGCUGAAGUAGGUCCCAAGGGUAUGGCUGUUCGCCAUUUAAAGUGGUACGCGAGCUGGGUUUAGAACGUCGUGAGACAGUUCGGUCCCUAUCUGCCGUGGGCGCUGGAGAACUGAGGGGGGCUGCUCCUAGUACGAGAGGACCGGAGUGGACGCAUCACUGGUGUUCGGGUUGUCAUGCCAAUGGCACUGCCCGGUAGCUAAAUGCGGAAGAGAUAAGUGCUGAAAGCAUCUAAGCACGAAACUUGCCCCGAGAUGAGUUCUCCCUGACUCCUUGAGAGUCCUGAAGGAACGUUGAAGACGACGACGUUGAUAGGCCGGGUGUGUAAGCGCAGCGAUGCGUUGAGCUAACCGGUACUAAUGAACCGUGAGGCUUAACCUU